GGGGAAUAUUGCGCAAUGGCCGCAAGGCUGACGCAGCGACGCCGCGUGGGGGAUGAAGCAUUUCGGUGUGUAAACCCCUGUUGCUCGGGACGAACAACGAGUUUCGACUCGUCUGACGGUACCGGGUGAGGAAGCACCGGCUAACUCCGUGCCAGCAGCCGCGGUAAUACGGAGGGUGCGAGCGUUGUCCGGAAUCACUGGGCGUAAAGGGCGCGUAGGCGGUCUGCUAAGCGUGUGGUGAAAGCUCGGGGCUCAACCCCGAGUCGGCCAUGCGAACUGGUGGACUAGAGCACUGUAGAGGCAGGUGGAAUUCCGGGUGUAGCGGUGGAAUGCGUAGAGAUCCGGAAGAACACCGGUGGCGAAGGCGGCCUGCUGGGCAGUAGCUGACGCUGAGGCGCGACAGCGUGGGGAGCAAA
rnacentral:rRNA from 1 species